rnacentral:rRNA from 1 species
UUCUUCCUACGGGACGCAGCAGUGGGGAAUAUUGGGCAAUGGAGGCAACUCUGACCCAGCAACGCCGCGUGAAUGAAGAAGGCCUUCGGGUUGUAAAGUUCUUUAAUUGGGGACGAAGGAAAUGACGGUACCCAAAGAAUAAGCCACGGCUAACUACGUGCCAGCAGCCGCGGUAAUACGUAGGUGGCAAGCGUUGUCCGGAAUGACUGGGCGUAAAGGGAGCGUAGGCGGCGCGGUAAGUUAGGAGUGAAAUCCCGGGGCUCAACCCCGGAACUGCUU